GCCAACAUAGCUUUGGGGGCAGAGGGACAUCAGAGCGGGGCUGAGCCCUGUGCAAAGAGAAACAAUCAUCAUCUGGAUUGUUUUACAGCUGGAACAAACUGUCCUCUGGUGGGAAAGGAGACGUGGGUGGAUCUGCUGGGGAGGUUGCUGCUGCUGGAAAAGGCCGAUCCCGUCUCCCAGAAGAUCCAACAAGAUGAACACACAUGGAAGGGGAUGGAAAAGACCAGCAGAGAGAGCAAAAUUGAGCUGCUGACUCACUCUUGUAGCCUCAUAGCCGGAGAAACAAGGCCCCAGAUCCCGCCCUGACCAGCCACUUGAAGGCCUGGCAAACUUGUCCCAGCAGUGGGCCAUUUUGGUAGCCAAUUUUGAUUGGACGUAUUCCUGGAGGGUUCAUCACAUGACAUAAUCUUUGCAAAAGAUGCAGCCUGGGCCCGCUGAGCCGGACUCUUCUCCGAGAGGCGAAAAGAGCGAGAGAAAGAGGCGAGAGAAGAAAGAAGAGGGGGAAGGAAAAGACGAGCAUGAGGGAGGGGGAGGGAGCAGGAAGUCCACGUUUCACCUCCCGGGCCGGGUGUGGGAUUUAGCCAGAGCCAGCGGAGGUGGCAACGUCACCUGGGUCUCCCUGUCUGGCCUCAUCCCAGCUCAGCUCCAAGGCCCAGGACAAUGAAGCCCCAAUGAUGUCAUGGCGGUUGGGACACCGACCCUCCUAGAACCUCCAGGAAUUAAAGAUUAAUCUUUCAUUAAAAAUUCUGUCUUGUGAUGAAACCUCCAAGAAUACAGCCUACCAGAAUCGGCAACCCUGCCUGGUGGAGUCCAGGAGACGGUACAGGUGGCUGCCCUAUCAUGAAACUUGCCCCCAUCUGUCCACCUGGCCUCUUCACUGCCACCCCAGAGGUCUCUCCAAAAGGGGGAGGUGGCUAAGCUAGUCCCUCCCCUCCUGAUUUUGUCCACCAAUCAGGAAUCCAAUUUUAUUAUCUGCUAGGGACUUCCACCAUUAAGAUAAUGUUUGAUCCCGGCAGUGUGCUCUGUGGAUAUAUAGCAGGAGUUGGGAGGGAGCGUUUGUCACAUGUAACCUACCAGCUCUGUGGUCUUGGGAAACCAGGGUGCAGUAUCCAGCCUGUCUGACUCAUGAAGGACCUCCCCCCACCCAACCUCUGCUUGAAUCAAAACUGCUCAGAAGAAAGACUUACCCAAGCCUCUCCAGACAAGGGUGAGAGGAUUAAGGCAACUCCCUUAGUCUCAUUUGCAUCAAAGAUGGGACAGGGGGCCUUCUCCAUUAGCAUAGAGAAUGGAGAACAGAGAUUCCAAGGCAAGAACUGCACUGAACUCUGGGACCAGAAAAGCAGGGAAGCACUGCAUCAUGGGGGAUCUCUGCUCCAGAUGUUAAUGAACCUACACCUGCCCACACCCAGCUCAGUGCUUAUCAGACCAAUUCUAGUAAUAAAUCCUCUAUCGGUAUCCAAAAUACUGAAGCUGCCUAAUUGAAUUAUGAGCUCCCUCGAAAGAACACCGCCCAUAGCCAGGAAUGAUCAGUUCUUAUUCUCUAGCUUGAACAAAACAACUUUGAUAUACUCCCUUAAAUCAAUCGUUUUACGCACCAAGAAUUCUAGUGUUCUCCCUUGAAACAUUGUUCUUUUUCUACAGAAACCCACACACACGCUCAAGUAGGUGUUCUGUUGCCUGCAUCCAAAAUCUGCAUCCGUUCCAUUGGGAUUUCAUCUUCUCCUGCCUGACGGUGCUGGGGGCUCUGCCGGUCUCCAGCACUACAGACCCUCAGCUACCACCAUCACCUGGGAACCCUGGUCGAUUCAAGCUUCACGGAGAGACUGUAUCCGUCUAUAGAAGAUCCACCAGAUACCGACGGACCGAGGGACAAACUCCACCCGUGUCCAUAUCCACUUUGCCUUUACUGGCUCUGACACUUUACUAUGGGCGACGUAUCCGAGAACACUUAUUCUCUGCCGCUUUUAAAAACUCACACACCUUAAUCUGGAACAAUGCUUGUUAUGUACACUAUGGAUCUCGUCAACUUUAUAACCAAGACUUUUAAUUUCUCACAACCCAAGCUUGACCCCAGACCUACAGUGCCU